AUUGAACGCUGGCGGCAGGCCUAACACAUGCAAGUCGAACGAGUGGCGGACGUGUGAAUAAUGUCUGGGAAACUGCCUGAUGGAUGGGGAUAACUACUGGAAACGGUAGCUAUUACAGCAUACCAUCCACUUUGCCCAGAUUGGAUUAGCUAGUAGGUGGGGUAAAGGCUAACCUAGGCCACGAUCCCUAGCUGGUCUGAGAGGAUGACCAGCCAAACUGGAACUGAGACACGGUCCAGACUCCUACGGGAGGCAGCAGUGGGGAAUAUUGCACAAUGGGCGAAAGCCUGAUGCAGCCAUGCCGCGUGUAUGAAGAAGGCCUUCGGAUUGUAAAGUACUUUCAGCGGGGAAGCGUUACCCGCACAAGAAGCACCGGCUAACUCCGUGCCAGCAGCCGCGGUAAUUC
rnacentral:rRNA from 1 species